rnacentral:pre_miRNA from 1 species
AAGAUACUCCCUCUGUCCCAAAUUUCUUGUCGUAGACAUAGAUGUAUCUAGACGUAUUUUUAGUUUUAGAUACAUUCAUUUCUGUGACAAGUAAUUUCCGGACGGAGGGAGUAUCAG